CAGAGCGGCUGCUGGCGCUCCGCAUCGCGCCAGAGCGCAGCUGCCUUCCCGCGGUGCCUCUGGUUCGCUCUGGUAUGACAUAAUAUGCUGUUUUCAAAAACAUCAAUCCAAGUGGACUGCAUCGAAAGCAGGCUGCUAAAACCUUCUUGUUAAUUUCACUGCAAUCUUCUAUGACACUUUUGGUCAAAAUGAUAACAGCUAGUUACUAGAAAAAUCAUGAGGAUAAAACGAAAGAGCAUUUCCGCU